ensembl:misc_RNA Metazoa_SRP Metazoan signal recognition particle RNA
GCUGAAUGGAGUGAAGGGUAGGGCCAGAGUCUUUGGGUCUGGAGUUCUUAACAGUCUUCUGUUGACCAUGUGUUCACACAAGGUUUGGCACCAAUAUGGUGACCUCCUGGGAGCAGGGGACCACCAAGUUGCCAGAGGAGAGAUGAACUGGCCCAGAUCAGAAAUGGAGCAGGUCAAAACUCCUGUGUUACCAUGACUGAUUUCAAACUAUCAAGUUGUGUGAAGAAAUGUUCACAAUCCACUCUU